rnacentral:rRNA from 1 species
GAUGAACGCUGGCGGCGUGCCUAAUACAUGCAAGUCGAGCGAACAGACGAGGAGCUUGCUCCUCUGACGUUAGCGGCGGACGGGUGAGUAACACGUGGAUAACCUACCUAUAAGACUGGGAUAACUUCGGGAAACCGGAGCUAAUACCGGAUAAUAUCUUGAACCGCAUGGUUCAAUAGUGAAAGACGGUUUUGCUGUCACUUAUAGAUGGAUCCGCGCUGCAUUAGCUAGUUGGUAAGGUAACGGCUUACCAAGGCAACGAUGCGUAGCCGACCUGAGAGGGUGAUCGGCCACACUGGAACUGAGACACGGUCCAGACUCCUACGGGAGGCAGCAGUAGGGAAUCUUCCGCAAUGGGCGAAAGCCUGACGGAGCAACGCCGCGUGAGUGAUGAAGGUCUUCGGAUCGUAAAACUCUGUUAUUAGGGAAGAACAGAUGUGUAAGUAACUGUGCACGUCUUGACGGUACCUAAUCAGAAAGCCACGGCUAACUACGUG